rnacentral:rRNA from 1 species
UACGAAGGGGGGCGAGCGUUUGUUCGGAUUUACUGGGCGUAAAGGGCGCGCAGGCGGCCGCUCAAGUCAGGCGUGAAAGCCCCCGGGCUUAACCUGGGAACUGCGUCUGGGACUGAGUGGCUAGAGUUCGGGAGAGGAGAGUGGAAUUCCCAGUGUAGAGGUGAAAUUCGUAGAUAUUGGGAAGAACACCGGUGGCGAAGGCGGCUCUCUGGACCGAGACUGACGCUGAGGCGCGAAAGCGUGGGGAGCAAACAGG